UACGUAGGGGGCUAGCGUUGUCCGGAAUCAUUGGGCGUAAAGCGCGCGUAGGCGGCCCGGUAAGUCCGCUGUAAAAGUCAGAGGCUCAACCUUUGAAUGUCAGUGGAUACUGCCGGGCUAGAGUCCGGAAGAGGCGAGUGGAAUUCCUGGUGUAGCGGUGAAAUGCGUAGAUAUCAGGAGGAACACCGGUGGCGAAGGCGGCUCUCUGGACCACAACUGACGCUGAGGCGCGAAAGCGUGGGGAGCAAACAGG
rnacentral:rRNA from 1 species